GACGAACGCUGGCGGCGUGCUUAACACAUGCAAGUCGAACGGUGAAGCGCCUUCCUUUUUGGUGGGUGUGGAUGAGUGGCGAACGGGUGAGUAACACGUGAGUAACCUGCCCCCUCCUUCUGGAUAACCGCAUGAAAGUGUGGCUAAUACGGGAUAUUCUGGGUCUGUCGCAUGAUGGGUCUGGGAAAGAUAUUGUUUCGGUGGGGGAUGGGCUCGCGGCCUAUCAGCUUGUUGGUGGGGUGAUGGCCUACCAAGGCGGUGACGGGUAGCCGGCCUGAGAGGGUGGACGGUCACACUGGGACUGAGACACGGCCCAGACUCCUACGGGAGGCAGCAGUGGGGAAUAUUGCACAAUGGGCGCAAGCCUGAUGCAGCGACGCCGCGUGAGGGAUGGAGGCCUUCGGGUUGUGAACCUCUUUCGCCAGUGAAGCAGGCCUGCCUCGUUUGUGGGUGGGUUGACGGUAGCUGGAUAAGAAGCGCCGGCUAACUACGUG
rnacentral:rRNA from 1 species